AUUGAACGCUGGCGGCAUGCUUUACACAUGCAAGUCGAACGGUAACAGGCCGCAAGGUGCUGACGAGUGGCGCACGGGUGAGUAAUGCAUCGGAACGUGCCCAGUCGUGGGGGAUAACUACUCGAAAGAGUAGCUAAUACCGCAUACGAUCUCUGGAUGAAAGCGGGGGACCGUAUGGCCUCGCGCGAUUGGAGCGGCCGAUGUCCGAUUAGGUAGUUGGUGGGGUAAAGGCUCACCAAGCCAACGAUCUGUAGCUGGUCUGAGAGGACGACCAGCCACACGGGGACUGAGACACGGCCCAGACUCCUACGGGAGGCAGCAGUGGGGAAUUUUGGACAAUGGGCGCAAGCCUGAUCCAGCAAUGCCGCGUGCAGGAAGAAGGCCUUCGGGUUGUAAACUGCUUUUGUACGGAACGAAACGGCUCUGGUUAAUACCCGGGGCUAAUGACGGUACCGUAAGAAUAAGCACCGGCUAACUACGUG
rnacentral:rRNA from 1 species